ncrna:unclassified sequences RT-10 RNA
GCUCUGCUGUUUCUACGGGGCAGCAGGCCGGUGCUAAUCAGGUGCCAGCCAUCAAGUCCAGCUUCGGCAAACUCAUGUCCGAGUGGUGGCAAUGGCAGGGAGUAGCUCAUCGAAACCUGCUGUCACU